CCUCGUGUGUACGCCGCUUCAAUGGCGUCCGCCGAGCAUUGUGCCAAAGAGAAAAGACCACAUUCCUGAGAUGUGCGCAGGUGUUGCGGCGGUGAAUAGCCGCCCGGGGACUCAAGGGCGAGCCGAUCAGCACGGAUACCGAACAAUGAGGCAACGUGACAGGAGAGGUUGGGGGCCAAGGAAAACCAAACGUUCACCAUAAUGAAAGGGUUAAGGUUGUAGGAGGAGCACACAAAGCUGUGGAAAAUGACCCGUCAAUCUCCAGAUGAUGCUCCCUCUCUCAUUCCUCCACUCCGCCUCAAUCCCCUUCUCCCACGCCGACGUCGCUCAGAUGUGCCUCUUCAUGUGCAGCGCCAAGUGAUCCGACCGCGAGAAACACCUGUUCCGAUUGGCUGUUUCCACCGAGACAGAAGCGACUGUCUGAGACGUCGAGAGGAAUCAGCCAAGAGGGGGAGUUACACUGUGAUGAGCCACCAGUCAUCUGUCUUACUGUCACACCUGCAUGUGCGUCCCCCGUGUGACGAAACACAUGUGACUCGCAGGGUGUGUGUGUGUGUGUGUCUGUGUGCGCGCGCUCGGAGAGACAGAUGGUAAAGUAUGAGUCACGACUCGGGGGCACGACACCAGCUGGCACACCGUG